rnacentral:rRNA from 1 species
UACAGAGGUCCCAAGCGUUGUUCGGAUUCACUGGGCGUAAAGGGUGCGUAGGCGGUCGGGUAAGUCUGAUGUGAAAUCUCACAGCUUAACUGUGAAACUGCAUUGGAUACUAUCCGGCUCGAGGAAUGGAGGGGAGACUGGAAUACUUGGUGUAGCAGUGAAAUGCGUAGAUAUCAAGUGGAACACCAGUGGCGAAGGCGAGUCUCUGGACAUUUCCUGACGCUGAGGCACGAAAGCCAGGGGAGC